GCGAUGCGCGGUGGUUGGGCGCGCGGCCUUCCAAUCCUUCAGGGCGGG
rnacentral:tRNA from 13 species